rnacentral:rRNA from 1 species
AUUGAACGCUGGCGGCAGGCCUAACACAUGCAAGUCGAACGAGUGGCGGACGGGUGAGUACUGUCUGGGAAACUGCACGAUGGAGGGGGAUAACUAAUGGAAACGGUAGCUAAUACCGCAUACCAUCGGAUGUGCCCCGAUGGGAUGAUAUAGUGGGUGGGGUAACGGCUCACCUAGGCGCCGAUCCCUAGCUGGUCUUAGAGGAUGACCAGCCACACUGGAACUGAGACACGGUCCAGACUCCUACGGGAGGCAGCAGUGGGGAAUAUUGCACAAUGGGUGCAAGCCUGAUGCAGCCAUGCCGCGUGUAUGAAGAAGGCCUUCGGGUUGUAAAGUACUUUCAGCGAGGAGGCGUUACUAGCAGAAGAAGCACCGGCUAACUCCGUGCCAGCCGCCGCGGUAAUUC